GCAGCUAGGUGCGCGUUUGUAUUGUGCAUGGUUAUUGACACAUUUUAGAAGUUGGAAACAAAUCAAAAUUAACGUGAACUGAUGUGUGAAGAAGAUAUAAAAAGUCCCAGGUCGCACAGCGAUUUUUGACUUGAUGGAACAUUGCAUGAAGGGAAACAAGAUGUUCACUGACAAAAUACUAACAGUACUGGCAGUGGCUGCUCAAAUCUUUAUAUUUUCAACAGAUACAGAAGCUGCCUGUGCGCUUCCACAAGAGCUUCAGAACAAAGAUUGGGACUACACUUACACAGCCGCGUCGACAGGAAAUCAAAUGACACAAACUUUAAGUUUUGGCACUACAACCAUUCCAAAACCAGGCAUCAGUUUAAAUGCUCAAGGGUCAGAUAUAGAUACUUGGACAUGCAUAUCUGAUUUAUCCAUCACUGAUACCGAAUCGGUUGUUGUAUUUAAAAGUGCCACCAGUUAUAAACAAUUCUUCAAUCCGAA